CCUACGGGAGGCAGCAGUGGGGAAUAUUGCACAAUGGGGGAAACCCUGAUGCAGCGACGCCGCGAGAGUGAAGAAGGAAUUCGUUAUGUAAAGCUCUAUCAGCAGGGAAGAAAAUGACGGUAACUGAGUAAGAAGCCCCGGCUAACUACGUGCCAGCAGCCGCGGUAAUACGUAGGGGGCAAGCGUUAUACGGAUUUACUGGGUGUAACGGGAGCGUAGACGGCAGUGCAAGUCUGGAGUGAAAGGCGGGGGCUCAACCCCCGGACUGCUCUGGAAACUGUACGGCUGGAGUGCAGGAGAGGUAAGUGGAAUUCCUAGUGUAGAGGUGAAAUGCGUAGAUAUUAGGAGGAACACCAGUGGCGAAGGCGGCUUACUGGACUGUAACUGACGUUGAGGCUCGAAAGCGUGGGGAGCAAACAGGAUUAGAUACCCUUGUAGUC
rnacentral:rRNA from 1 species